GACAUGAAAAAUAACGUUCAUUUGUAUUUCAGCAUCUGCAUGUCGCGUGGAUAAAUACUCUACUGUGUGACCCCAUUACCUAAGCGAGUGCACAGAGGAAAAUGCCAGGAUGAGCAUGAAAGCUUACUGAAAUGGGAAGGGGUUGGUUUUGGAUUCUGAGGCGUUUGCAGGCUGGCGUGUAACGUCAAAGGAAGCCGGACCAGCUCGGAGACACUCCGCUUUCUUUUGAAAGUCAGGUUUAAGAUUAUUGCGCCUCAAAUCAAAACGGGAAGCUGGUGGGAAACAUUGCGGAAAUUGACUUUUUUUUGCUGUCAGAAUUCCGAAGACGGAUAUGGCGAAGCAUCAUUCCAAAUACAAUCGUAACAUUUGAAGGACUAUUAUCAAUCAGAUUCAUCUGAUUUAGUAAUGUUUUGUAACGUUGGAUAGAUAGCAUGCAUCAAGGCUAAAGGAUAGUAAUAAUCUGAGAUGUGCUAUCAAUUAUCUCAGUGCCAUCAUGAUUGUGAAUAUGUUCGCGUCGGACAAUACUACAACGCCGUGUUCUGCCGAGGGCUGAUAUACUGCAUCUCCAGAGUCCAGUGGGAAACUGCUUUGUCCUUCCAGCGUAUGUUCAGUGCUUCACCCUUACAGAGCCAGGUGUUGUUACUAAACUCACAUCAUCUGUAUCAAUAAAUAUGUUCAUGUGUUGUAUAUCUAUUUUCCAAUCAA